rnacentral:lncRNA from 1 species
GCCAAAUCCCUGCCUUACUGACCUCUCCCCUGGAGGAGCAGGAGCAGCGCUCAAGGCCGCCUUGGGAGGGCUGAGAGGCAGGCUCUGGACUGGGGACACAGGGAUAGCUGAGCCCCAGCUGGGGGUGGAAGCUGAGCCAGAGACAGUCACAGAGGAACAAGAUCAAGAUGCGCUUUAACUGAGAAGCCCCCAAGGCAGAGGCUGAGAAUCAGAAGACAUUUCAGCAGAUUCUGUGUCCUCCAGCCCUAGUGACCUCUCUUUGGCUCUUCAGCAUCUACAAAUCUGAAGGACAAAACAUGGUUCAAGCAUCUGGGCACAGGCGGUCCACCCGUGGCUCCAAAAUGGUCUCCUGGUCCGUGAUAGCAAAGAUCCAGGAAAUAUGAUGCGAGGAAGAUGAGAGGAAGAUGGCGCGAGAGUUCGUGGCCAAGUUCAUGAGCACAUAUGUCAUGAUGAACAUACAUAUGAUAGUUGAGAAAGACACAUAUUCUGAUCAUGAAGAAAUAAACACAAGUUAAAUAUGACUAAGCAGAAAGAUGGAAGGACCAGGAACGGUGAUGCUAACUUGGAACCACGAUGCAGGCUCUAAACUCCUCUACAAUCAUCCCCCCUUGUGAGAAAAAUACUUGAUCUGAAGGUCCCAGCAAGGAGCCGACUCACAGAAGAAUGCAGUUUUCACAUCAUGAUGAUUUAAUCUUCCUUGACCUGAGCAAUUGACAACCCCAAUUCUCCAGAACCUCACCCGCCACAAUCCCCUUAAAAACCCUGGCCCAGAACCCCUCAAGCAGACAGAUGUGAAGCUUGAGGAUUCCUUCAUCUCUUUGCCCAAUGGCAUUGUGAUUAUUAAACUCUUUUUCUGCUGCAAAUUAUGAUGUCUCAGUGUAUUGGUCUAUUGCUGCUCAGUGGGCAUAUGAAUCUGGCAGUCCUGUAAUAGGGACAAAAGAUAAACUACUGGCAAAACACUCGUAAAAGUCAUAACCUAAGACAUAGGCCCACUGAAAGGCGGAUAUUCAAUCAGAGCACUGUAGAACAUAUUUCUCUGCUCAUACCAUAAAAUUUAAACCAACAUGACUCCAAUAUAAGGAGACAGACAAAAGAGCUAUAAGAAAC